UGAUGUUUCACCAAUUCGUGACGGGUACGAGACGGAAUGAAAAGCUAUUCGCCCCGCGGAAGGGUUAAGGGGAAUAAAGUGGCCGAUGGUUAACUAUGGACGUGUUAUUAUGUGAAUCAAGUAUUUCAUUGACCGAGUGAGCGAAGCGAGCAAAGUCUACAAAUCAAAGGGGCAAAGAUAACUUUCGAACCGUUGGUCUGAUUUAGAUAAAAUGUAAAAGAGGUUUUUAGUUCCUGUCCGGGUGGUUUUCGGAUUGGUAUUGAAGUCAUCAAGAUAUACAGCAAUUAUCGCUAUUAAGAAGACUCAUCUUACGCAUCAACUAAAUACCGUCCAUAGAUAUGAACUAUGUAACAAUAAUGUAACAAAAUAUACAUAACAAAAUUUAAAAUAAAUCACAUAUUGAACUUGAUCGUACAGUAUUAUUUGCUUGUCUUGAGGUUAUCUCUUUCAUCAAUUCCGUGUAGCA